AGGUCGAUCUGGCUCAGAACGAACGCUGGCGGCGCGUCUUAAGCAUGCAAGUCGAACGGCAAGAGGUAGCAAUACCUCCUAGAGUGGCGGACUGGUGAGUAACACGUGGGUGACAUACCCUUCAGAUGGGGAUAGCUAUUAGAAAUAGUAGAUAAUACCGAAUACGAGCACAGGGGUUAGAGAUCUGUGAGGAAAGGAGCUAAGGCUCCGCUGAAGGAAUGGCCUGCCGGCCCAUUAGCUAGUUGGUGAGGUAAGAGCCCACCAAGGCGAUGAUGGGUAUCCGGCCUUAGAGGGUGAACGGACACAUUGGGACUGAGAUACGGCCCAGACUCCUACGGGAGGCAGCAGCUAAGAAUAUUCCGCAAUGGACGAAAGUCUGACGGAGCGACGCCGCGUGGAUGAAGAAGGCCGGAAGGUUGUAAAAUCCUUUUGAAACUGAAGAAUAAGCGUUGUAGGGAAUGACAGCGUGGUGACAGUAGGUUUUGAAUAAGCAACGGCUAAUUACGUGCCAGCAGCCGC
rnacentral:rRNA from 1 species